rnacentral:sRNA from 1 species
CAAACGAGGGACUAGGUUCUGAAAGUG